CCUGGUGUAGCGUGAUAUGCGCAGAUAUCAGGAAGAACACCGAUGGCGAAGGCAGGUUUCUGGGCCAUUACUGACACUGAGAAGCGAAAGCAUGGGGAGCGAACAGGAUUAGAUACCCUGGUAGUCCAUGCCGUAAACGUUGGGCACUAGGUGUGGGGAACAUUCCACGUUUUCCGCGCCGUAGCUAACGCAUUAAGUGCCCCGCCUGGGGAGUACGGCCGCAAGGCUAAAACUCAAAGGAAUUGACGGGGGCCCGCACAAGCGGCGGAGCAUGCGGAUUAAUUCGAUGCAACGCGAAGAACCUUACCAAGGCUUGACAUGCACCGGACGACUCCAGAGAUGGGGUUUUCUUCGGACUGGUGCACAGGUGGUGCAUGGUUGUCGUCAGCUCGUGUCGUGAGAUGUUGGGUUAAGUCCCGCAACGAGCGCAACCCUCGUUCCAUGUUGCCAGCGCGUUAUGGCGGGGACUCAUGGGAGACUGCCGGGGUCAACUCGGAGGAAGGUGGGGACGACGUCAAAUCAUCAUGCCCCUUAUGUCUUGGGCUUCACGCAUGCUACAAUGGUCGGUACAAUGGGUUGCGAAACUGUGAGGUGGAGCGAAUCCCAAAAAGCCGGUCUCAGUUCGGAUUGGGGUCUGCAACUCGACCCCAUGAAGUCGGAGUCGCUAGUAAUCGCAGAUCAGCAACGCUGCGGUGAAUACGUUCCCGGGCCUUGUACACACCGCCCGUCAAGUCACGAAAGUC
rnacentral:rRNA from 1 species